rnacentral:misc_RNA from 1 species
CAUAUGCACGUAGUCGGAUAAAGCUCUCUAUCCCUGCCUUUCUCAGUUUGCAUUGUUUUGACUCUUGGGCCACUCUCAUGGCCUCCUAACUCAUCUCACCGUCCAUCCCUGCUCUACUCUCUCAAUUUCUUAUUUCCCUUCCCCGACACCGACAGGCACUGAAACUAACGCACUUGCGAGCGACUUCGUGUGACGCGCGAUAGGAGAGUGAAGCAUCGCUAUUUAGCACGGCGUUUGCUGUUACUGUUGCUGUUGCUGUUACUGCUGCUAACAACUAGAGUCUCUCCAUCUUCUCUGGUGUCGGUACUAUCGCCCUCCUAUCUCUCAUUCUUUUCCCUGCCGACCCGCUCGUCUUCCUUCGUUCGCGCCUCCCAGAGAAGAGUCUCGCUUCCCUUUUGUUAUUUUUUGGCAAGACAGAAAAGGAGCGAGAAGUGCGAGAAGGGUGCCAUCGCCUUCUUGCCCGCUCCUGCCAGCGUAUCCACGGGCUCAUACAGCUCACUAUUUGUUUUGUGUGUGUGUGUGCGCCAGUGACUGAUCGUUAUUGAUGGGUGUGCGAAGAGAGGGGGAAACAAACGUCGACUGUGUUUGCAUCUCUGCGUGUGUGCUUCUUCUCACUUUCCACGCUACCUCGAAUGAGUUACCUUCUGCUGCUGCCUCUUCACGUUUCUCUCCUUGGUUAGCGUGUCUGUAUUUGUCUUAGUCGAUCUGUUUUUCUCGUUUCCUCUCGAUUCUUACCUCACCACUCAAUUCGAAGCUACUUUUGCCUCGCGCUUCUGCCCCUUACCGCAUUCGGUACAUCUUCCCGUGCUUCAUCUCCUGAGCAGCGCACUGGCCUGCCCACCUUUGCUACCUCGCCCCUGCCCCCCCCCCCCACACACACCUUGGCUGGCUUUCUCACUUUGACCCGUCAACCGAAAAACAACAAUAAAAAAACUCUCGAAGUGAAGGGCGCGAAGCACUUCCAGCCCCCCCCCCCCACGAACCCACACACUUAAACGCCGUCACUCACACGCGCGCUGCUGUUGUUGCACUGGUGCGCCUGUCCGUGUGCCUGUGCGGCUUUUGUGUGUGUGUGUGUUCGACUCUCUUGUUCUCUUGCGGUGCCACUGGAAUGAAAGAAGUGAUGCACCGCAACCGCAACCGACGCAGGGGACCGCCGGAGGGUCGCUCAGUGCAGAACGUGCUGAGCACCGAUGGCAUCCCACCCGGCAUGUUUGCCGUGAUCGACCCCCUCAGCAAGCGCCUGUUUAUCCCUUUAGAGUCUAUGCUGGACACUCGCGCGAUGCACCGCAAGGGCGUGCCUUCGCUCUGCCGGGUAUUUCUGGAGGGGCGCUGUCGGCAGGGCACGAACUGCUUCCAAGCGCACGCCAAUAUCGAUCUGGUGCUCGAGUUACGGGCUAAGGCUCUCGCGGAGCCGACAUGCUGCGCCCUCCACGGCGCGCCGAGCGAUAACUCAGGCAUCGACCCUGCCCUGCGGCUGAUCGUGCGGAACGACGACGGUGAGACGGUAGGGUGUGCGCAGCUGCCACAGACGCUGGUAACCAACGGACUGCGCACUCUCAUUGCCGCUCAGACGAGCGCCGCUGGCAUGCAGGCACCAGUAGAUGUAGUCGUGCCAACCUCGGCGCUCUGCCGGUUGCACAGCGGCGCCGAUGGAUCGCCCUGCUGCCGCUUCGAGGGAGAAUGCAAUUUUGUGCACCUGUGCCGCCAACUGAUGGCUCACAUUGAUCAGCAGAGGGCGACGGUCAAGGUGGAGAAGCACCUCACUGCACCAGUGAUGGCCAUAGGAAGGCCCCCUGAAGCCAAUUAUGAAGAAUUCAUGACUGUCCUGGACAAGGGAUUUCACGGUUCUGCCUCCUCUCCCCUGCAGAUGCGCUCGCAGCCGGCGUCAUCGGUGACGGUGCCGAUGAGCGUGAGCGCCAACCUCGGUGUCACCCCUCCAAUCCGCUUCGACCCCCUUGCGCUCGCGGCGACAGCUCCAAGCCCGACGCCGGACAACGGUGUGCUCUUGUUGGGGCGAUCCCCUUUGAUGUCAAGGUCCUUCAGCUCCACUGCCUCUGGGUUGGUUUGGCGCCACAACCCGUACAACUCCUCUCACGCCUCCUCUGUAAUAGAAACCUGAUAAAGUGUGUCCGCAUGUGUGCGUGUAUUAAUAGAUGUGCCCCCACGAGUGAGUGCAUCGGUACGUGUGUGUGAGAACGGCUUGCGCUCUUUUUCCUUUGAGCAUACUAUCACCUUUGUGCCCAACACAGAGAUGUCGCCCAUCUACGCGCUCGCAGAAAUGUAGAAGACAUCAAAGGCAGCGCUGACGGAAUACCAGGCCCCUCCAUCCACAUACAUAGACAUGUACACACUGUCACAUACCUACAAUCGCCCCGGGUGUCACAGCACUUUCCAGCUCCUCACUUUCUUCCUGCCCCCUCCCCCUCUGUGCUCCCCCUCCCCACCUGCUCUGCUCUUCAGCUCUCUCCUUCUCGUGCUUUUUCUUUUGUUUUGUGCACCUCACAUUUGAUCUCAAUGUGCGCUUCCUUGUCGCGUUGUGCGUGAGGCCUCUCUCUGACCCUUAUUCGUUCGGCUGCCGUCUUCUUUGUUUUACCCUCCUCUCUUACUCUCCCGCGUUGUAUCCGGGUGUGCAUACACGUGUGCGUGUGUGUGUGUAUUUGCGCCGAACGGCAGGCACGCGGUGCGUUGGUGCGGGUGAUGGGUUAAGCAGCGCGGUGGAUAGAGGUCAGGGAAAGGGGUAUUACUGCAGCAGUAACGCAAGCUACUUCUGUUCUUUUCAUUUAAUGCUUUGAUUGCUUCCAGCUCUCGGUAUAAGUUGAUUAGUUUGUCCUGCGUUCUUAUUUCUCUCAAAGGUACUGCGUGAUGAACGGGCGCGAGUCUUUUGGGUAGGUUGAAGCUGCACAUCACCUCUCUUUUUCUCUACAACCACCAGUUGGUGCAACAUUCCCUUGCUUGUGAACGGAGAAAGGAAUUAAGUGCGGACUGGGAUGUGCAGUCACACCAAAGCACAUGAGAACAAGCGAGUAUGUGAAACACCCACAACACGCAGAUGCACCUCGAGUACUCCUUCAACAUUGACAGUCCUGAGCCGCUGCUGCAACUCUCGACUUCCACCCCUACUUUUUCUCUCCUUCCUUUGGCUGGAGCGUUUUGAGCGCGUGCGUAUGUACGCAUGUUGGUAUGCAUCUAUAUGUGCGUAUGACUAAUAAUAAUUCGGCGCGGUUCUUCGUGGUGCAG